rnacentral:misc_RNA from 1 species
AAGUCGUAACAAGGUUUCCGUAGGUGAACCUGCGGAAGGAUCAUUGACAUAUUAUUCUUCAUACACACUUGUGAAAAUCCAAGACAGGUUAUAACAAAGUUGAAGGUUGACAGACAACUAUAAUACUCUACUCAGUUAGAGUUAAUACUCACUCAGUUAGAGUAGUAUGUUGAAUGUCUUCUUUAAAUACUUAUAUAAACUCUAGUUUUUAUUAUAUAAAGCGUGCUUUAAUAUUAAAACAAUAAGUUUAUACAACUUUUAACGGUGGAUCUCUUGGCUCCU